AAAGUCGUAACAAGGUUUCCGUAGGUGAACCUGCGGAAGGAUCAUUAUUGAAUAAACCUGACGGGUUGUCGCUGACUCCUAACGGAUUAUGUGCACACUUGUCAUCUUUAUCCAUCCACCUGUGCACCUUUUGUAGUCUUGGAGGAAAUAAGCACGAAAAUGUCGAGGGAAUACCAAUUCGUUGGUCCCUCGGGAAAUGAGGCCUGCCACGCGAGAGCAUGGCUGACCUUGAAGUUUGCGCAAGUUUCUCCGAGUCUAUGUCUUUCAUAUACCACGUAAAAACACUUAGAAUGUAUUUACUAGGCCUCAGUGCCUAUAAAACACAAUACAACUUUCAGCAACGGAUCUCUUGGCUCUC
rnacentral:misc_RNA from 1 species